rnacentral:lncRNA from 1 species
AUGGCCUGCUCCAGGCCUGGCAGGCCUCGGACAUUCCUGUUUGCUCUUACAGCUGCCACGGAUGAGCCAGAGCUCAAUGGCCCCAGCCUGACCGGACAGUCAGGACUGGAAUCUUCUCAGGGCCUCUCAGAAUCUGAGGCCAUCAGCCCCACCAGCAGCCCGGUGUCAUCGGCUCUGGCUCCCCGUUCUCCAUCUCCAGAGGCCAGCAGCCACAGCAGCCCCCAGCGUGCAGCCUCAUCCUUGGCAGACAGCAGCAGCCCAAGCACAUCAAGGCCAAGACACAGCAGCUCCAUGGGCCCUGAGGACAGGGUCCAUUCCAGGCGUGCUGGGCCUGACCGCAGGCGAAGCCGCUCUCGCCAGCAGAGUCGGGCCCCAGAUAGACCCGUCCGGUCACGGAGUCGCCGUGACAGGAGCAGCGAGACAAGACCAAGGGCUGAGAGGCCCAGGCCCAGGGACACACCAUCGCAGGCUUCCCCCAGAUGCAGCUGCCCCUGCUGUCAAGCUCGGGCCUUAAGUCCACCUGUCUGGUCAAGGAGUCACUGUGACCAGAGCAGCAGGAGAACAUCAAGGACAGAGAGGCCCAGGCAAAGGCAGACACCAUCGCGGGCAGCCCCCAGACUCAGCCGAUCCCGCCAGGAAGCUCAGGCCCAGAGUCCACCUGCCCGGUCGAGGAGUCGCCGAGACAGGAGCAGCAGCACAACAUCGAGGGCAGAGAGGCCCAGGCAAAGGGAGGCACCAUCGCAGGCAGCCCCCAGACGCAGCCGCUCCCGACUGCCACGUCAAGUCUCGAAUCGACCUGUCCAGCCCAGCGGUCUCCAGGACAGGAACAGGAGGACAGCAGCAAAUGCUGAGAGGCGCAGGCAAAGGGAGACAUCCUCGGGGACGUCCCCCAGACGCAGCCGCUCCCGCCUGCAACGUCGGGCCUCAAACCGACCUGUCCGGUCCAGGAGUCGGCAGGACGGGAGCAGGAGGACAGCAGCCAGUGCUGAGAGGCCCAGGCGCAGGGGGACACCGUCGGGGACGUCGCGCUGGAGCAACCGCUCCCGCCAGCCACGUCGGGCCUCAACUCGGACCUCUAACAGCAGCACGUAG